AUGAAGAAGGUGGUGCUGAAGCUGGACCUGCACGACGACAGGCAGAAGCAGAAGGCGCUCAAGGCCGUCUCCGCUCUCCACGGCAUCGACACCAUGGGCGUGGACAUGAAGGACCAGAAGAUGACGGUGGUCGGCAGCAUGGACCCCGUCGACGUCGUCAGCAAGCUGCGCAAGGUCUUCCACGGGGCGCACAUCGUCUCCGUCGGCCCGGCCAAGGAGGAGAAGAAGGACGACAAGAAGGACGGCGCCGGCGGGGACAAGAAGGACGGCGAUAAGGACAAGAAGGACGGCGACAAGGACAAGAAGGACGGGAGCAAGCAGGUGGUGUACCCGCAUCACUACUGGUACCCGCCGCCGCCGCCGCAGCACCACCACCCGCACCCGUACUACUUCGUCCGCAGCGCCGAGGAGGACCCCAACUCCUGCGUCAUCUGCUGA
rnacentral:rRNA from 1 species